rnacentral:rRNA from 1 species
UACGUAGGGUGCGAGCGUUGUCCGGAAUUAUUGGGCGUAAAGGGCUCGUAGGCGGUCCGUCGCGUCGGGAGUGAAAACUCGGAGCUUAACUCCGAGCCUGCUUCCGAUACGGGCGGACUAGAGGUAGGCAGGGGAGAGCGGAACUCCCGGUGUAGCGGUGAAAUGCGCAGAUAUCGGGAAGAACACCUGUGGCGAAGGCGGCUCUCUGGGACGGUACUGACGCUGAGACGCGAAAGCUAGGGGAGCGAACGGG